rnacentral:rRNA from 1 species
UGCCUAAUAAUGGCAGUCGAGCGAGCUGAAUUCAAGAUCCCUUCGGGGUGAUUUGUUGGACGCUAGCGGCGGAUGGGUGAGUAACACGUGGGCAAUCUGCCCUAAAGACUGGGAUACCACUUGGAAACAGGUGCUAAUACCGGAUAACAACAUGAAUCGCAUGAUUCAAGUUUGAAAGGCGGCGCAAGCUGUCACUUUAGGAUGAGCCCGCGGCGCAUUAGCUAGUUGGUGGGGUGAAGGCCUACCAUGGGAAUGAUGCGUAUCCGAGUUGAGAGACUGAUCGGCCACAUUGGGACUGAGACACGGCCCAAACUCCUACGGGAGGCAGCAGUAGGGAAUCUUCCACAAUGGACGCAAGUCUGAUGGAGCAACGCCGCGUGAGUGAAGAAGGUUUUCGGAUCGUAAAGCUCUGUUGUUGGUGAAGAAGGAUAGAGGCAGUAACUGGUCUUUAUUUGACGGUAAUCAACCAGAAAGUCACGGCUAACUACGUGCCAGCAGCCGCGGUAAUACGUAGGUGGCAAGCGUUGUCCGGAUUUAUU